ACUGAACUAGAUUGCAUACUUUUCUUCUAGAUAAAUAUUAUUUAAGAAGUAAUUCCUUAGGAGAAAAAUGACUCUGUAAAUUGUUUCCUUUUCAGUCCGCCUGCCACUGCCCCCGACCAUACGCAGAUAUACACAAGACAGGAAUUUUUCUUUUUUUUUUUGAGAUGGAGUCUAGUUCUGUCUCCCAGGCUGGAGUGCAGCGUCACGAUCUCAGCUCACUGCAACCCCCACCUUCCGGGUUCGACCGAUUCUCCUGUCUCAGCCUCCUAAGUAGCUGGGAUUACAGGUGCGCACUGCCACGCCCGGCAAAUUUUUGUAUUUUUAGUAGAGACAGGGUUUCAACAUGUUGGUCAGGCUGGUCUCAAACUCCUGAUCUCGUGAUCCGCCUGCCUCGGCCUCCCAAAGUGCUGGGAUUACAGGCGUGAGCCACUGCGCCCGGCCAGGAAUGAUUUUUUUCCAACACAACAGAAUUUGUAGAGGCAAGUUGGUGGUAGGGUGGCUGUUGCUCUAAUUUUACUAAAAGCAAAAGUAUCUGAAAUUCUUGACAGUUAAUGCCCUAGAAAACAGCAAAUUUCAGUAAAGAAGACUCUGCUUCUGUGAACUUAUUUCUAAAAAGUAAAGAAGAGGUGACACAAACUUGGGGAGAAAGUUAUCUUGAUGCCCAUCAUAGAAAUGAAAGAAAUAUGUGGCAUUCCUUACAAUCUUAGAACUCUUGGAGUAGGGGUAGGAGCUUGCAUUGUAGAGUCCUAGCUAAACAAGGUAACACUUAUUUUAUAUUUAUAGUAUGUUAUGUUACUGUUAGUAUGAGUAUGCUACUGAACCACAUACAUAGGACCAGUUAGACCGGACUUGGAUUAUUAUAUUCAAUUGUGUGAAUCAAAUAUAAGAGGGGAUUUUUUUAUUCAGAGGAGGAAAGUGGAAUCAGAGCAUCCAGAAUUUAUUGCACAAGCAUAGAUACGAAAAUUAGUGCUGCUUAUUCUAGAGAUGAAAGAAGACUAUACCAUGUUAUCGUCUUCACAUAUGUGGAAGAAUCACAAAGAGUGAGUGGAUAUUACUUGUGUGGCUUUGGGAGUCAAAACUAAGGCCAGCAGGUGGAAGGUUACAAGGGGUCAGACAACCUUUAACAAUAUUCAGCGAUCGAACUGUCUGGAAGUAUCCAAGCAGUGGCUGGAUUGGCAUUUUUCAGAGAUGUUGUAGAGAGGAUUUCAGCCUAGUUCGACCAACAGGUUAUAAUCUCACUAGUACAAGAAAGUGGGAUGAUUCCUCCAAUUGAAGGCUUUAGCUGCUCAGCUACCAAAGAUAUACUAGCUUUUGUGAUUGCCAUUCAUAUCUUUUCCCAAAAUGAUAACCAUUGGAGACCUCCAAUAACCUCUCAGUAACAUUUUCUUCUUUGGCUGUAGGCCAACAUCAUAGUUACAAGAGAUGCACAAAAUUUAUCCAACACUCUUCACCUAGAACUACAGUUAUAGAUUGUUGUUUUCAGGAUUGGUUUUUGCUAUGGGAGAUAAAUCAUACAUCAGCAGGAAACCCUAGUGUCAAAUAAAGAUCAGUCUAUUUAGGAAUUCAUCAUCUUUCUUGACUUAUCAAAUCUCCCAAUGUAUUAUCAAGACUUUGAGCUAUACCUUUGCCCUCAGCGCUUGCUGGAUUUGGAGGUAGACAGUUGACUUCAAUAACAAGAGUUUGGAGUACUCCUUUCAGUGUACCCCCAUUCAGAUGGUCAAAAUUUCAUCACCGUAGAGGCCAUGGCGUUCUUUUCCAAGUUUCUACUAAUCUGGCCAGACAGUAUGUCUAUCCCAAGUUGAGAUGGGCAAAGUCCUCUCCCUUGUAUUCUUCGUUCUUAAGAAGUAUAUGUGGGAAAUAAUUUUCUGGAUCUUAGCAAACUAAAGUUAAUAGUAAAUGAGGCCCGGGCACAGUGCCACAGGCUAUAAUCCCAGCACUCUGGGAGGCAAAGGCAGGAGUAUCACCUGAACUCAAGAGUUCAAGACCAGCCUGGGCAACAAUGGUGACACCUCAUCUCUACAAGAAAAUAGAAAAAUGAGCCGGGCAUGGUGGCACAGAACUGACACUCUGGGAGGCAAAGACAGGAGUAUCACUUGAGCUUAAGAGUUCAAGAGCAGCCUGGGCAACAUGGCGAAACCCCAUCUCUACAAAAAAAUAGAAAAAGUAGCCAGGCAUGGUGGUGCAGGCCUGUAGUCCUAGCUACUUGGGAGGCUAAGGUUAGAGGAUUACUUGAGCCAAGGCUGCAGUGAGCCGAGAUUGCGCCAUUGCACUCUAGGCUGGGCAACAGAGGGAAACCUUGUAACACAAAAUAGUAAAUGAGAAGUUUAAAAUGACAUUCCUCAGAAAAAAUGUGUCACUGAGAGUCCUGGCUAAAGGUUGCUUGAAAGCUGAAGGCUGUUUGAUUAUACCUUCCAAUCUCCCAGACUACAGGAGCUUUGUUUUGUGGCAUUUGUUGACAUUUUUCCAGAACUUUGCCUUUGGACAAAACCCUGUGUGAUAGCCUACCUUUAGAUAUUGCAAGACAUCACCAUCUCAUAUGGGACCAAUUGUGUUAUCAGUGAUUAAUCCCACCUUUGGACUAUGAAAGACAGGAGGGGGAUAGCAUUUAGUUAAACUUCCUAAGAGUCUAAGUUGGUUUCUCUGUAGGAACUUGACUGCCUCACAGCUUUUGGGAAACCAUUCAGAUGAAAGCAUGUUUCCAGUGUAGCAGCAAAAUGUGAUAUUAUUAACAAUAGUCAUAGUUAGCAAGCAGUACCUGGAGUUGCUGAAACUGAUGGCAUCUAGAUAAGUAAUAAAUUUGACAAGAGGCUGCUUUUCUCUGUUUUCACAAAUCAUUAACACCAUAUUCUUUGUGAGGAUCCUUUCCUAUUCCAGCAGAGUAUUAGACAUGCAUUAAACAAAUGUUUGUCAAGUCCUGCUAUAUGCCAGACACUGACCUUGUCCCUGAGUAAACUGAAAUGAACAGGACACAAUACCUGCCAUUAACUGACACAUGGUUAAUGUGGUCAACAAGUAUACUUUACAGAUAGGCCUGCUUUGCUUCACUGUAAGUACUAUAUAGUAGAUUCAUACUCUGUGUAUGGUUUCAUCAGAAUUUUCACAAGUAGAACAGUGUUUGAAGUUGAGUGCUGUUCCAUAAUUACAAAAUAAACUACAGUGUGUCCUGAGCAGCCAUGACUACCAACUUUAUUUAGGCUUCUGGUUCCUCAUAAAGAGAUCCUUAGAAUAUGGAGAUUUACAUUGACUCUGAUGAUAUGCCUAUUCAUGUUCUACCUGGCCAGUGAGAACAUGAUCAGAAUAUACCCUGCAGAGCAUUUUUUCUUCCAGAAAUUGGUGCUUAACAGAAGUACUUUGAACUAUUCUUGAGACCAUAACAAUAGAGAUUUUAUCAAGGAUUACUCCUCAGUUUGGGAAGUAUGGUUUUUUGGGGGUUGUGGGGGUGAGGCACAGAGUUUCACUCUUGUCGCCCAGGCUGGAGUGCAGUGGUGCGAUCUUGGCUCACUUCAACCUCCACCUCCCAGGUUCAAGCAAUUCUCCUGCCUCCUGCUUCAGCCUCCCGAGUAGCUGGGAUUACAGGUAUGUACCACCACGCCUGGCUAAUUUUUAUAUUUUUAGUAGAAACAGGGUUUCACCAUGUUGGCUAUGGUGGUCUCGAAUUCCUGACCUCAGGUGAUCCACCCACCUCUGUCUCCCAAAGUGCUGGGAUUACAGGUGUGAGCCACAGUGCCCAGCCAGGAAGUAUCUUCAAUCUAAAGAUUUCGCCAAACUCCAAGCAACUUUUUUUUUUUUUUUUAAACAUAGCUACCUAUUGACUGCCUCCAAAUAAUUUCCUUUAAGUGCCCAAGAUGUGGCUUCAAACAUUAAAAUCUCAGACUAUUAAUCUACUGUCUCAGCAUAGCAGAUUACAUUCACUCACAUAUUGUAGUCCUUACAGUGUGACUGUAAAAUCAUACCUCUACUAUCAGUCACCAGACUGGUUUCAGACAUCUUAAUGACUAGGGAAUCAUGUUGAUACAGACAUUGACACAGAAGUCUGUGUCUUGGAAUGUUGGUAACUAUGUGGAUAUAAUCACUUUACCCAUUCUACCCAUAUCGAUCGCCUCAGCUAAAACUUCAGUUUCAGUUAUGUCUUUCUCUUUAACUCUGAUUUCAUGCAACCCUCUUCUCUUUCCAGCCUUAUUUUGACAGAAGGCUACUACUUGACCUUCCUUUAGAUCACCAAUCCUUUGGGACAGAUAUCUUCCCAGUUGACACUGUCUCUCAUAACAGCUAGUUAUUUUACUCCAGCUAUUUCUGUGCACAUCUAACUCUCCUUUCUGGGGGAGUUAACCUGUGAGUCACCAUUUUGAUUACUUCAGAUAUGCUUAUUACUGCUGAAGAAUAGUAAUCCUUAUUCUAAAAUGCUUGGGUACAUCAAAUAACUUUAUAGAGGUAGCUUUACAGGUUUUUCUUUAUUUUGAUUCUUUUUCUCUUACUCUCCAAUUUAAGAAGCCUUUUUCUAAAAGCACUUCCUGCAGGUGGGUGCUAAGUGGUUGGGAUAGCAGAACCAUAGAUUAGGGCAACUGUAGAUAACCUACUUGGGGAGGACAGUGUGAUCAGCAAUGCCCAGGAAGUGAUCAGGAAGGAAGGCUGAAGUCAGGGCUAAUGACAGCAAGAGCUGACCUUCCCCUCUGACAUUUUCCUACUUGGCUUCUGCAAUGC
rnacentral:lncRNA from 1 species